GAAACUGAGGCUCGCCCUGAGUGUCCAGUUGGUGGUGGUGGAGCACGUCGGAGCAUGGAACCUGUGCUCUUAGUCAUGGCGCGGACCAUCAGGGAUGAGGAGGGUGGAGGAACGUGGCAGACGCAGACGAAACAGAAUAGGGCACGGAACGGCCACCACCUCGGCAGAGGACCAUCUUUUGGGGCAAAGAGAGAGGAAGACUGGCAACAGAUGUUAGCUCAGGGUGAAUCUUUCCCGCAGAAAAAAAAAAACUACACAAAAAUGACAGCUACUAUCAUACCUAAUGGUGAGAAACUUGAAGCUUUCCUACUAAGACCAGGUACAAGGCAAAGAUGUCCCCUCACACCACUCCUUUUCAACACCGUACUAGAAGUUCUAGCCAAUAUAGUAGGUCAAGUAGAAAAUAUCUGCCAAAAGACCCAUCUAAUAAAGGACUGUUAUCCAUAAUAUGCAAAGAUGCUUAAAAGUCAACAAUAAGAAAACAAGCAGGGGCCAGCCCAGUGGCCAAGUGGUUAAGUUCACAUGCUCUGCAUCGGUAGCCCAGGGUUUGCUGGUUCAGAUCCUGGGUGUGGACCUACACACCGCUUGUCAAGCCAUGCUGUGGCGGCGUCCCACAUGGAAGAACUAGAAUGACUUACAACUAGGAUAUACAAUUAUGUACUGGGGCUUUGGGGAGAAAAAAAAAGGAAGAUUGGCAACAGAUGUUAGCUCAGGGCCAAUCUUCCUCACCAAAAAGCAUACUUUUAAAAAAAAAAGAAAGAAAGAAAACAAGCAACCUGAUUUUAAAAAUGGGCCAAAGACCUUAACAGACACCUCACCAAAGAAGAUACAGAGAUGGCAAAUAAGCAUAGGAAAAGAUGCUCCACAUCAUUUGUCAUCAGGAAAAUGCAAAUUAAAAUGAGAUACUACCACACACCUAUUAGAAUGGCCAAAAUGUGGACCACUGACAACACUAAAUGCUGGCAAGGAUGUGGAGCAACCAGAACGCUCACACACUGCUGGUGGGACUGCAACAUGGCACAGCCACUUUGGAAGAACUCCAGUGGUUUCUUACAAAACUAAACAUGCUCUCACCAUAUGAUCCAGCAAUCACACUCCUUGUAUUUACCUAAAGGAGCUGAAAACUUAUGUCCACACAAAAAUCUGCACACAGAUCUUUUUAGCAGCAUUAUUCAUAAUUGCCAAAACUAGGAAUCAACCAAGAUGUCCUUCAGUAGGAGAAUGGAUAAACAAAGUGUGGUCCAUCCAGACAAUGGAAUGUUAUUCAGCACUAAAAAGAAAUGAGCUAUCAAGCCAUGAAAAGACAUGGAGGAAACUUAAAUGCAUAUUACCCUGUCAAAGAAGCCUAUCUGAAAAGGCUGCAUACUGUAUGAUUCCAGGUAUAUGACACUCUGGAAAAGGAAAAUAAGGAGAAUGAAAAAGAUCAGUGAUUGUUAGGGGUUGGAGGGAAGAACAAAUAGGCAGAGCACAGAGGAUUUUUAGGGCAGUGAAAAUACGCUGUAUGAUACCAUAAUGAUGGAUGCAUGUCAUUGUCCAUUUGUCCAAAUGCACAGAAUAUACAUCAAGAGUGAACCAUAAUGUGCACCAUGGACUUUGGGUGAUUAUGAUGUGUCGAUGUAGGUUUAUCAAUUUAAAGAAUGUCCCACUCUAGUGGGGAUGGUGGUGACAAAUGAGGCUACGCAUGUGUGGGGGCAGGAGGUAUAUGGGAAAUCUCUGUACCUUCCUCUCAAUUUUGCUGUGAACCUAAAACUGCUCUAAAAAAAUUAAGUUAAAAUAUCACGUUUAUAUCCUUUGAGGUAAUUGUUUUUACAUUUUAGAACUUGC
rnacentral:lncRNA from 1 species